CAGUCGCCGCGGUAAUACGAAGGGUGCAAGCGUUACUCGGAAUUACUGGGCGUAAAGCGUGCGUAGGUGGUGGUUUAAGUCCGUUGUGAAAGCCCUGGGCUCAACCUGGAAAUUGCAGUGGAUACUGGAUCACUAGAGUGUGGUAGAGGAUAGUGGAAAUUCCGGUGUAGCAGCGAAAUGCGUAGAGAUCGGAAGGAACAUCUGUGGCGAAGGCGACUAUCUGGGCCAACACUGACACUGAGGCACGAAAGCGUGGGGAGCUAACAGGAUUAGAUACCCCUGUAGUCCCUGUCUCUUAUAC
rnacentral:rRNA from 1 species